rnacentral:rRNA from 1 species
UACAGAGGGUGCGAGCGUUAAUCGGAAUUACUGGGCGUAAAGCGCGCGUAGGCGGCUUCGCAAGUCGGAUGUGAAAUCCCCGGGCUUAACCUGGGAACUGCAUUCGAGACUGCGUUGCUAGAGUAUGGGAGAGGGAAGUGGAAUUUCCGGUGUAGCGGUGAAAUGCGUAGAUAUCGGAAGGAACAUCAGUGGCGAAAGCGACUUCCUGGACCAAUACUGACGCUCAUGUGCGAAAGCGUGGGGAGCAAACAGG